AUAGUUUAAAAAAAACAAAGGUUUUGUAAACCUUAACUGAUUUAUCUUAUAGUUUC
rnacentral:tRNA from 1 species